UUGAAAUGGGUAAUAAGAAUGGCGGCGAGACAUGUGUUAAGAGAUAGAGAAAUGGAGAGAAUACGGCGACAAUGGAGUUAUCGUCAGCUCCAAAACCUUAUUCUUUUUUCCCCCAAAACAAAAUUAAAAUAGGGGGUUUGAUGAGUAAGCUGACAAAAUUGAUUCUCAAAUCAGCCAUAGCCACAGGAGAGAAGUACGGCGAUAAAGAAGUUGCCGGAAUCGUGUUGCUCAUCGAGACUUAAUAGAGACAACUAUGACAGAGAUGAGAAACCCCAGCUAGAGCUCGUGAAGUCGAUAUUAUUGGUGAAUUUUUCAUUGGUUCAAGGUGGCCUUUAUCAUUUAUUCUUGUCCUUCCUUUAUAACUCGUAAUAUUGCUCCAUUUGUUAGUUUCAUGUGUACUUUGUUCAUCAUGCGUUAAAAUUUCUUAUUGAUAGACCUUGGUCUAUUGUCUGACAAGUAGGAAGUUAGUACGAUGAAGAAUGGAUUAAUCGAAUGAGAAUACACAGAUGGAGGAAUAUGGACAUACAUUUCAUGUCAAAAUAGAUUUUACCUUUUUCUA